UUUCAUUCUGUGCUCUUAAACCAAAAUUUCAUAAAAAUAAUGAAAAAUAUUUUGCAUUUUUAAUUUUCCAGGUUUAUAUAAUAAUUAAAAUUUACAAGUAGCGAUUUUCAAUGGAUGUUCGCAUCUUCAUUCGGAAUACUAGGUGAUGACUUGGUUCUCAUGAUCCAACAUUUAUUAAUUUAUCAUGAGUUAAAAAUUUGGGAGGAUGAGAAGUUUUUUUCGAGAAAAUCAGCUGUUUGCUCAUCUGAAAUAAACAACUCAUGUCAAAUAUUUACCUUAAGAAAAAUUAACUAAUGGCAGAAACAAAAAGUUAUAGGUAUGAGGCAAAUGGACUUAGUUGUACUAGUGAAUGUAUCAUGAACAGUGAAAAAAAGCCGUUUUAUUCUUUGGACAAUAUACAAUUACGUUUUUUGUGUCCCAAUGAUUUGAAUGAAGUGAGAUCUCUGUGCCGUGACUGGUUUCCUAUUGAAUACCCUUUUUAUUGGUAUGAAGCAAUCACUUCUUCUAGUAACAGCAGAUACUAUUCAUUGGCAGCUGUGUACAACCAAACCAUCAUAGGAUUAAUUGUAGCAGAAAUUAAACCAUAUGAAUAUUUCAUACUAAAUGGAGAAGAUAGUGGAAUUUUAGCUAAAUGUUUGGUUGGCAAUUCUGACAUGGCUUAUAUACUAUCUCUUGGAGUUCUAAAAGAAUAUAGGAGAAAUGGAGUUGCAACAUUAUUAUUAGAUUCUUUACUUAGUUACCUGGUUUCAAAUGAAAGAAGAAGAGUGAAGGCGGUGUUUUUGCAUGUGCUUACAACAAAUGCCGCAGCCAUUAUGUUUUAUGAAAAAAGGAAAUUUAAACUUCACAGUUUUUUGCCAUACUAUUAUUGCAUAGAGGGAAGGUGUAAAGAUGGUUUUAUGUAUGUUCUUUAUAUAAAUGGAGGUCAUGGUCCCUGGACAAUUUACGAUUAUAUUAAAUUUAUGUGCGGCAAAAUAGUGAGUGGUGGUGGGUUGUUCCCCUGGCUUAUGAACAAUGUGAACAGAGCAAUUGAAUGGAUAUGGCGAGAUAAUAAAUUCCAGACUGAAGAACAUCAAACUAUUCACUAGUCCAACUACAACAAGAAACAGUUUUCUACCAUUGAACAUAAACAAAAGACAUUUGCUAUAGGUAGGGGCAAGGGUGGGCACGGCCUCAUUAGAAUUCUUGAUGCCCCCCAUCCCAGGUACUGGAACGAAUAAAUUUUCCAGCAAAUAACAAUACAACUACAAACAUUGAUCUUUCCAGAACCAACCCCCAAAAAAACUUCGCUACGCCAAUGGUUGUUUGAAAUAUGGAUCAUUUGAUCAAAAUAUAUUUAUUUCAUUAUUUA